rnacentral:rRNA from 1 species
GUGGGGAAUAUUGGACAAUGGGCGAAAGCCUGAUCCAGCCAUGCCGCGUGUGUGAAGAAGGUCUUCGGAUUGUAAAGCACUUUAAGUUGGGAGGAAGGGCAGUAAGUUAAUACCUUGCUGUUUUGACGUUACCAACAGAAUAAGCACCGGCUAACUUCGUGCCAGCAGCCGCGGUAAUACGAAGGGUGCAAGCGUUAAUCGGAAUUACUGGGCGUAAAGCGAGCGUAGGUGGUUUUGUAAGUUGGAGGUGAAAUCCCCGGGCUCAACCUGGGAACUGCAUCCAAAACUGCAUGACUAGAGUACGGUAGAGGGUAGUGGAAUUUCCUGUGUAGCGGUGAAAUGCGUAGAUAUAGGAAGGAACACCAGUGGCGAAGGCGACUACCUGGACUGAUACUGACACUGAGGUGCGAAAGCGUGGGGAGCAAACAGGAUUAGAUACCCCAGUAGUCC